rnacentral:rRNA from 1 species
UGGGGUAUAUUGGACAAUGGGCGCAAGCCUGAUCCAGCCAUGCCGCGUGCGGGAAGAAGGCCUUCGGGUUGUAAACCGCUUUUGUCAGGGAAGAAAUCUCCUGAGCUAAUACCUCGGGGGGAUGACGGUACCUGAAGAAUAAGCACCGGCUAACUACGUGCCAGCAGCCGCGGUAAUACGUAGGGUGCAAGCGUUAAUCGGAAUUACUGGGCGUAAAGCGUGCGCAGGCGGUUAUGCAAGACAGAUGUGAAAUCCCCGGGCUUAACCUGGGAACUGCAUUUGUGACUGCAUAGCUAGAGUACGGUAGAGGGGGAUGGAAUUCCGCGUGUAGCAGUGAAAUGCGUAGAUAUGCGGAGGAACACCGAUGGCGAAGGCAAUCCCCUGGACCUGUACUGACGCUCAUGCACGAAAGCGUGGGGAGCAAA